AACGAACGCUGGCGGCAGGCUUAACACAUGCAAGUCGAACGGAUCCUUCGGGAUUAGUGGCAGACGGGUGAGUAACGCGUGGGAACGUACCCUUUGCUACGGAAUAACUCAGGGAAACUUGAGCUAAUACCGUAUGUGCCCUACGGGGGAAAGAUUUAUCGGCAAAGGAUCGGCCCGCGUUGGAUUAGCUAGUUGGUGGGGUAAUGGCCUACCAAGGCGACGAUCCAUAGCUGGUCUGAGAGGAUGAUCAGCCACACUGGGACUGAGACACGGCCCAGACUCCUACGGGAAGCAGCAGUGGGGAAUAUUGGACAAUGGGCGCAAGCCUGAUCCAGCCAUGCCGCGUGAGUGAUGAAGGUCUUAGGACUGUAAAGCUCUUUCACCGGUGAAGAUAAUGACGGUAGCCGGAGAAGAAGCCCCGGCUAACUUCGUG
rnacentral:rRNA from 1 species